UGGGGAAUUUUGGACAAUGGGCGAAAGCCUGAUCCAGCAAUGCCGCGUGUGUGAAGAAGGCCUUCGGGUUGUAAAGCACUUUUGUCCGGAAAGAAAUCCUUGGCUCUAAUACAGUCGGGGGAUGACGGUACCGGAAGAAUAAGCACCGGCUAACUACGUGCCAGCAGCCGCGGUAAUACGUAGGGUGCAAGCGUUAAUCGGAAUUACUGGGCGUAAGCGUGCGCAGGCGGUUUGCUAAGACCGAUGUGAAAUCCCCGGGCUCAACCUGGGAACUGCAUUGGUGACUGGCAGGCUAGAGUAUGGCAGAGGGGGGUAGAAUUCCACGUGUAGCAGUGAAAUGCGUAGAGAUGUGGAGGAAUACCGAUGGCGAAGGCAGCCCCCUGGGCCAAUACUGACGCUCAUGCACGAAAGCGUGGGGAGCAAACAGGAUUAGAUACCCUGGUAGUCCACGCCCUAAACGAUGUCAACUAGUUGUUGGGGACUUCAUUUCCUUAGUAACGUAGCUAACGCGUGAAGUUGACCGCCUGGGGAGUACGGUCGCAAGAUUAAACUCAAUG
rnacentral:rRNA from 1 species